GUCCACGAAUUUUCUCUCAAAUAAAUUUUAAAUUGCUCUAUAAAAUUGUGUGUUAAAAUUUUAAUUAAUUUCCUGAAGGAGGUUUCAGUAAAUUUUGUCCACUUCAGUUUUAAAUUUAGUGCUGCUAUACAAGAUGCAUGUCAAGGUUGCUGAACACUUUGCACUCUAUGUGACCCAGCUAAGGUCAUAGUUUUGCGAAAAUUGCAAUUUAAUUACUCGUGUGCGAAAGAGUUGGAGGUUAAGAGUUAUUUAUUCCAAAGCUAUGUAAAAGAAGUAUCCUCAGAGAAGUGCAAGAGCAUCGUGCAAAUAAUAAAGACGGCGAUGGCUAAACGUCAGCAUGGACGUUAAGAACGGAGCGGAACAACUAGACCGCAGAAACUGGCUUAUCGUUGAAACCGAGAAAAGACGGGGACAUUUAAGCAGGCGCAUCACGAUCCUCGAGCCAAUAACCUCGAAGCGGAGCGACAAGCCCUAUGGAGCCUCGAGAAACUGUGCGACCACGUAACGAAAAGGAGGGCCAGUAAAAGAAGUGGUACAGGAGACGAUCGAAGACUUGACGAUAAAUAUAACGGCACCUAACACAAGAGAGAAGGUAAGGGCGUAUAUAACGCUUCAUCAAGAUAAAGCUGACACACUGAUGCGAAGGACACGCAUUAAAAUUGGCUGGGUUAACUACAGGCUGCCACUUAAAGAAAACGCUAAAAGGUGCAAAGGGCCCGACAGGAGAGGGCAUAAAAUGCUGCUAACCAGGUCACAAAUUAAAAGAAUGCACAAAACUCCCCUCAUGCUGCCUCUGCGUAGAGGCUAAACACGUAAAAGUCGACCAUAUCCCGGGCUCCGCAAAAUUUACGGUAUAUAGGAACUAUCAGAAUAAAUGAAUACUCUACAGGGAAAUAUGCAUAGAUGCAAGGUUAAAGCGUCAUACUCUCACAAAUAGUGACGGAGAACGGUUACAACUUAAUAAUCAUAAGCGAGCGAUAUAAAAAAAAGGAGAGCGGAACCUGGUUAGAAGAUAGCAGCUCAACCGCAUUUCCACUGUAAUUUGCUGCUACUUGACUCCAAGCAACAGCAUACAAGAAUUUCAAGAAAAGCUCGACAAUAUUGAGGAUACAGCCAGAUCUAUAGGAGGUGAAUUGAUUAUUUCCGGAGACCUAAAUUCAAAAUCCAUAGAGUGGGCUAUGCCAACCACGGAUUCGAAAGGAAAACGCAUUCUAAAAAUGGCUACGCGGCUUGGUCUAAUAGUGCUUAAUACGGGAAAUGCAACCACGUUCAGAAGACAGGGAUGCGAGGAAACCACACCAGACAUCACUCUAUCAUCAGAACGCAUGUUAGCCUUAAUAAAGAAAUGGAGAGUCCUAGAAGAUUACACUGGCAGCGAUCAUCAGUACAUCUCUUUUACGGUGGACACCGGAACAAACGCCAACCAGGGCAUGAAAAAUUCUGGAACCCAUAAAUGGAACGUCUCGAAACUAAACACUUCGAAAUUAAUCUCCGCAAUAGACGACCAUAACCCAUCUACCAGCUCCCCCGAAAAUUGCAAGAAAAGUUGUCGACUACACAAUGCUUAAUAUAACAAGAGCAUGUCACAAAUCGAUGCCCAAGGCUUCCUGCAGCAAACAUAAAGCAGCAGUUUACUGGUGGACAGAAAAUAUCGCCCAACUCAGACGCACAUGCCUUCGCCUUCUUAGAUCGUAUACGAGAUCUGGGCGAAGAGGAGCUCCAUCCGAUGAAGCACGCCAUCGCCGAUAACAAAAAGAGAAAAUAGGAGAAACUAUGCGCGGACGUCAAUACCCCUGGAGACUUGGGUAGAAAAUAGUAAUGAAUAAACAUUACGUCAGGAGCUGCACAAGGAUCCAUUUUAGGCCCAGACUAUAACUCGAAAUGCCAGACGAAUCGUACCUAAUUGGCUACGCGGACGACACCGCAGCAGUAGUUACAGCCUGAGACACAGAAGAUGCGCGAAGGAAGCUAAACCAGGUCAUGAUAUGGACGUAAGCAUGGCUUGACUCACACAACCUCCAGCUCCAUGGGGAGUAGUCAACCUUUAGAACACCUACGCUUGACGCAAAUUUCAACAGACCCUGUUGACUCACUAAAGAUACCUCUCACAGUGCAUCAUACCGUGGGGCCCCCAAAUGCUUAAACUAUUGCUUUGCCUAUGCAGGAAAGGUGUGUUAAAGAUGUUCCAUUGCUUCCCUGGUGCCCUGUCCUAGACAUUUCCUGCGGUGGUUUUGAUCUGUCAGCCCCAUUCCGCAGGCGUGUGCCGCUAUCAGACUGUGACCAAUGGGUAUUCCAAUUAUGUUCCUACAGUUCCUUUCCUGUUUCCUCCUAUCGAUUCCAGUUGGAACUUUGUAUACAUACUAUUACACAUAACUUUUGCAGUAUCACACCCAAGUACAUCAUUCUUUCGCAUUUUGAUCAUCUUUGUCAUGCUCCUUUCCAAAUCGUAGUAUAGAUAAUGCUUGGGUUUACCAAUGUUGUUCAAGAUUUCGGGUGUCAGCCCGAACAUUAACUCUUACAUUUAGUAAUAACUAUUAUUUUUUGUGUCAUACUAGAGUGUUGUUUUAAAUAGCUGAGAUUGUAAUGUAGUUAACAAGAUUAUAGUGUCAUUAUCUAAAAUUACAAUGGAAAUACAAGUAUAUUGUAACUAA